rnacentral:tRNA from 2 species
CGCGGGGUGGAGCAGCCUGGUAGCUCGUCGGGCUCAUAACCCGAAGGUCGUCGGUUCAAAUCCUGCCCCCGCAACCA